UACGUAGGGGGCAAGCGUUGUCCGGAUUUAUUGGGCGUAAAGCGCGUGUAGGCGGUCUUCUAAGUCUGAUGUGAAAGCCCUGGGCUCAACCCAGGAAGUGCAUUGGAUACUGGAAGACUUGAAUACGGGAGAGGGUAGUGGAAUUCCUAGUGUAGGAGUGAAAUCCGUAGAUAUUAGGAGGAACACCGGUGGCGAAGGCGGCUACCUGGACCGAUAUUGACGCUGAGACGCGAAAGCGUGGGGAGCAAACAGG
rnacentral:rRNA from 1 species